ensembl:snRNA U1 U1 spliceosomal RNA
GUACUUAACCUGGCAAGGGACAGACAUUCCAGGGUCAUGAAGUGGUUUCCCCAGGGCGAGGUUCUUUUAUUACACAUGGUAUGUGUUGAUCCCUAUGGUUUCCCCAAAUUCUGGAAACUUGACUGCAUAAUUUGUGGUAGUGGGGGGCUGCAUUCGUGCUACUCCCUC